UACGGAAGGGGGGCUAGCGUUGUUCGGAAUUACUGGGCGUAAAGCGCGCGUAGGCGGAUCGCUAAGUCAGGGGUGAAAUCCCAGGGCUCAACCCUGGAACUGCCUUUGAUACUGACGAUCUGGAGAUCGGGAGAGGUUGGUGGAAUUCCGAGUGUAGAGGUGAAAUUCGUAGAUAUUCGGAGGAACACCAGAAGCGAAGGCGGCCAACUGGCCCGAUACUGACGCUGAGGCGCGAAAGCGUGGGGAGCAAACAGG
rnacentral:rRNA from 1 species